rnacentral:rRNA from 1 species
GAACGCUGAAGCUUGGUGCUUGCACCGAGCGGAUGAGUUGCGAACGGGUGAGUAACGCGUAGGUAACCUGCCUCUUAGCGGGGGAUAACUAUUGGAAACGAUAGCUAAUACCGCAUAAAAGUCGACAUUGCAUGAUGUUGACUUGAAAGGUGCAAUUGCAUCACUAAGAGAUGGACCUGCGUUGUAUUAGCUAGUUGGUGAGGUAACGGCUCACCAAGGCAACGAUACAUAGCCGACCUGAGAGGGUGAUCGGCCACACUGGGACUGAGACACGGCCCAGACUCCUACGGGAGGCAGCAGUAGGGAAUCUUCGGCAAUGGGGGCAACCCUGACCGAGCAACGCCGCGUGAGUGAAGAAGGUUUUCGGAUCGUAAAGCUCUGUUGUAAGAGAAGAACGAGUGUGAGAGUGGAAAGUUCACGCUGUGACGGUAACUUACCAGAAAGGGACGGCUAGCUACGUGCCAGCAGCCGCGGUAAUACGUAGGUCCCGAGCGUUAUCCGGAUUUAUUGGGCGUAAAGCGAGCGCAGGCGGUUAGAUAAGUCUGAAGUUAAAGGCUGUGGCUUAACCAUAGUACGCUUUGGAAACUGUUUAACUUGAGUGCAGAAGGGGAGAAUGGAAUUCCAUGUGUAGCGGUGAAAUGCGUAGAUAUAUGGAGGAACACCGGUGGCGAAAGCGGCUCUCUGGUCCGUAACUGACGCUGAGGCUC